rnacentral:rRNA from 1 species
GACGAGCGCUGGCGGCGUGCUUAACACAUGCAAGUCGAACGGAAAGGCCCUGCUUUUGUGGGGUGCUCGAGUGGCGAACGGGUGAGUAACACGUGAGUAACCUGCCCUUGACUUUGGGAUAACUUCAGGAAACUGGGGCUAAUACCGGAUAGGAGCUCCUGCUGCAUGGUGGGGGUUGGAAAGUUUCGGCGGUUGGGGAUGGACUCGCGGCUUAUCAGCUUGUUGGUGGGGUAGUGGCUUACCAAGGCUUUGACGGGUAGCCGGCCUGAGAGGGUGACCGGCCACAUGGGGACUGGGAUACGGCCCAGACCCCUACGGGAGGGAGCAGUGGGGAAUUUUGCACAAUGGGCGGAAGCCUGAUGCAGCAACCCCGGGGGGGGGAUGCGGGCCUUCGGGUUGUAACCCGCUUUCCCCUGUGACGAAGGGGGAGUGGCGGUAAUGGGAAAAGAAGCACCGGCUAACUCCGU